GGGCUCUUAACUUCUCUCUAGUUUAUAUUGCUGUAUAUCUGCUUUUUAGAAGCUCUGUUUUUCUGUUUGUCCUUGUUCUUUCCAUCUUGUCUUUGCUUGAUUCAAUCAGGGGAUUGAAUCAAGAGUGUAGAGGUUGGUUGGUGAGCCGAGGAUAAAACCAACGUGUAAGGGUUUGAUUGUGAUCCCGGAAAAACAAUCAGGGUGGUUCUAGUCGGUGAGCCUGGGAAAACCGACCGAGUUCGUUGUGAGCUCGUAAAA
rnacentral:lncRNA from 1 species